rnacentral:rRNA from 1 species
CAGCAGCCGCGGGAAUACGUAGGUCCCGAGCGUUGUCCGGAUUUAUUGGGCGUAAAGCGAGCGCAGGCGGUUAGAUAAGUCUGAAGUUAAAGGCUGUGGCUUAACCAUAGUACGCUUUGGAAACUGUUUAACUUGAGUGCAAGAGGGGAGAGUGGAAUUCCAUGUGUAGCGGUGAAAUGCGUAGAUAUAUGGAGGAACACCGGUGGCGAAAGCGGCUCUCUGGCUUGUAACUGACGCUGAGGCUCGAAAGCGUGGGGAGCAAACAGGAUUAGAUACCCCCGUAGUCCCUGUCUCUUAUACC